UCUUUGUAAUUUCAUUAAUACCUUUACCAGAUGAGGGUGGGGUAUUGCUUUUACUAUUGUACAAAAUUUCUAUCUCUAAUAAGUAUGACAUUACUGAUAAUGGAAUUGAUUUAUUUCUGCAUUUUUAUAUUAAUUGUAUGGUACAUUGGAUACUUAGUCGUCAGUCUUCAACAAAUUUUCCAGUUUAUUGUAGCACUUGGGUAUUGUGGAAUGGACAAAAAAGGAUUAUGCACCUCAUGGCAUGAGCAGUUUAUUUCAUCACAGAUAAUUAAUGUCAUUCAGAGACAAACAUUUUCACAUCUGUGUAACAACAUGUUGACACCAUAAAUACAUGGACAGCUGCUUAUGCAUACUGUAUGAGUUAAUCUACAAAUUUUCAGUGUCACUUUGAUUGUCUUGGUAGUAGAACAUUAUUUAUCAUAGUGCACAUAACUCAACAUGAAUGACUGUUUGUUGCUAGUAUUACAUUGUAACUCAGUUGCUUAGGUAGCCUGCAGUUCCUCCUCCUCUAUCGAUUUUUUUAGUGGGACCACAAGAGAUAGGAAUGUGAAAAGAAAAUUUGCAGUUUAAAUUUUUAUUGAUAUUUAUUCCUUAAACUGUAGACUUCUUUAUCUACUGUUCCAUGCUUGCUUCUUCCCUUAUAGACUUAGUGAUUCUCCAUUGUUUCUUAAUGUUAAAUUCAUAUAUAUUUGGUUUGACAAACUUUCACUUCUUUGCUUAGUGCUUUCAUCGUCGUCUUCAGUACACGUAAUGGGUUUCUGCAGCUUACUAUUCAAGACUACUCAAGCCUGUGCUGUGCGAGUCUCUUCAUCCCUGCAUAACUACUAGAGACUACAAUGUUUGAAACUGAGUACUGCAGUCAGUCUUGGUCACCCUCUACUGUUUUCAGCCCACUAUUUUCCUCUCAUACCAAGUUAACUAUUCCUUCUUUUAGUCAAAUUAUGGCAAAAUUUCUUUUCUCUCCAGUUUGAUUUGGUACCUCUUCAUUAUCAAAUCUACCAAUUUGAUGUUAAGCAUUCUUCUGUAGCGCCUCAUUUAAAAAACUUACUUUCUCUUCUUGUCUUUAUUGUUUUAUCCUCCAUUUACAAUUCUACAUUGCAGACAAAUAUUUUCAUAAACAAUAGUUCUGAACAAAGCUAUUUUCUAUGAAUGCGGCAACAGCGUUUUUUGGGGAGUCACUAGUAGUGGACUUACGUAUAGUGUAUUGUUUUCUUUGACAUUGUUUUUGCACUUGGUAUGCAUAUCUACCGAAGAUGAGUUGGUUUCAAGUAUCUUUAACAAGGCUGCAAUGUCAGCCUCAGCAGAAGCGUAUUUACACACCUCCCCAUGAAACUAUCCUGGCUGUCUUGUCUUCAUCAAUUUCAGUUAGUGAAAACAAAUAAAUAGGGCCUAACUAAAAGAAAUUGGGAGUAAUGAUGUAAAAAAAAAUUUCAUUUUCUGUUGGAUAACAGAGUUUUUCAUUAAUUCAUUAACAUAUUGUGUUGUGAUAAUCCAAUCAUGAAGGGGUGUGUCUUCAGGGCUGUGGAAUGAUUCAGUUUCUAUGUUAUCGGUCUACAUUAAUAGGCAGAAGCAGCCAAUGCAGGCAAUUUCUUUAUGGUAUACCAACAACAAAUUGAAGACCAGUAUGGAAAAUCAUCCCAAGUCCACCUUUGGUCAAUUUUCACUUUUAUAUUAAAGUGAAUGUACAUGCCUAGAGCUACAUCCCCUUAAAAUGCCACAAUACAUUUUCAAAUGAAUGAAAUAACAUCCCAAAUCCAUGGACUUGGACAGUUUUUCCAUUCAGUAACAUCUUGGAAGCCACAUGCAGUUUUCAGUACCUCAUGGCAGCUGCAACAAUCAAUAAAAAGUAUUUUUUUCAACAAUGGACGGGCUUACUACAUACUGAGUUGAGUUGAUCAUAUUUUAUAUAUUUUCUACCCACUCAGUUUGCAUGAAGCCUGUGUAGUGGACGCAUCAUUUGUGAAAGUUGGUAUUUUUUUCCGUUCUAAUAUGGAGGUGGUUUCAAGUGAUGGCAAUUCAGAUGUUUGUGGUAAAAAACAUAAAAUGUCUGACAAUUGGGGGGGGAAAAAAUGUAGCGAAACGAAAACGUGUUGCGGGAGAAGAAUAUACCACAAAUACAGGAGAAAUACAUCCAGGUUGAAGAACAGGCCGUAACAGCAAGUGCAGAAGAAAAUGUUGUGAUGUGUUGAUGAAGAAGAAAAGGCAGCUGUUCUAUGUAAUUUCAAUGGUUUAGCUGUGAAAAAUAAGCAAGAUUUUCAUGUCUGUGGUCUGAUGUCUCCUACGGUUGUUUUUCGUCAAAGACUCCGCAUGGACAAAUGUUCCCAGAAAACCUUUACAAUGAAAUAUAAUCAGGCAUGACUUGAUGCUCCCAGGAGAUGCCGAACACGGAAAGUGGAAGAGGCUUUACUGUAGAGAAUCCGUCAACAGGUACACAAAUGACAGUCUGCUGAAGAUCUUUCCAUCAGAAUGCAGAACCUCACCCUGAAUUACAAAAGCAGGCAAAGUCCUGUGUGUAAAUUAUUUUUGUGUUACAUUGUGCUUAUGCAGGUAAUUUACUUGAAACUAAUUCAUAUUGUUAGCAACAAACACAGUAAAGAAGCGAAACACAUACAAUGGGAAGUGAGUGCAAGAAUUCCAAGAUUUUUGAAUAGUCUUCUGCAAGAUGUUUGGUUUUCUAAUGACCAUAUUCAUUAUCAUGAAAUGAGAAGUAGGCCUAACAAUGACUUUUUUGUAGGGAAAUGUUUAUGGCAACCUUGUGUCAGAAAAGGUACUAUAUUAACAGAAACUUUAAUCCAACUCUUUGCAACAAAGAUUUAGAAUAGAAUUACAAGAUGUAUUGAAACAGUUUCCAAAUCAUUUAUGAAUAUACAAAUAAUUGACAGUAAGUUAGAAGUAUUCAGCUCAUUACAGACAUCUGUACAAAUUUUCUGUGCAUAACUUACGUAUCAGUAUUAAGAUUGUUUCAUAAUUUCAUAUUUAUUAGCACAGUUUAUAAAAUAUUUGCCAAUACCAUUCCAUUUAUUUAAACUCAGCAUCUCAUGCUGAUGGCACCGUGAUGGGAUCCCAACCCACUGUCAGACACCCCAAAGUAACACCAACACCUGAGUGAGGUUUAAGAAUAUAAGGUAUCUUGUAUAUGAUGAUAAUUGUAAUAAUAUAGUAUAAUUGUGUGUAAAAAUAAUCCAUAAAUUUAGUGUAUUAAAAUAUCUGUGUGUAUUAACUA